rnacentral:rRNA from 1 species
GACGAACGCUGGCGGCGUGCCUAACACAUGCAAGUCGAGCGGGGUUGAAGCGAGGGGUAACUCGAGUUUCUACCUAGCGGCGAACGGUCGCGUAACACGUAGGCAACCUACCCUGUAGAGGGGGAUAGCCCGCCGAAAGGCGGAUUAAUACCGCAUAUAGAUUACGGAGCGCAUGCUAAGUAAUUGAAAGCAGUAAUGCGCUACAGGAUGGGCUUGCGGCCUAUCAGCUAGUUGGUGAGGUAACGGCCCACCAAGGCGACGACGGGUAGCUGGUCUGAGAGGAUGGUCAGCCGGAUUGGGACUGAGACACGGCCCAGACUCCUACGGGGGGCAGCAGUUAGGAAUUUUCCACAAUGGGCGCAAGCCUGAUGGAGCAACGCCGCGUGCAGGAUGAAGGUUUUCGGAUUGAAACUGCUUUUAGUGUGAAGAAUAUGACGGUAACACAUGAAUAAGGAUCGGCUAACUCCGUGCCAGCAGCCGCGGUAAAAUCA